NGGGGUUUAAAAAAUGCAAUAUUUAAAAAACGGCCAUGUCGUCUUAUAAGUCCUGGUGUAAAGCCACUCUGAGUUUGUAACUCACAGGUACAACU
rnacentral:snoRNA from 1 species